GCAUCUAGCGAUCCGAUGGGGUAUUGUUGCCUUGUCGAGGAGCUUCCCGGAAACGAAAGUCUUUCGGUUCCUGGGGUAGUAUGGUUGCAAAGCUGAAACUUAAAGAAAUUGACGGAAUGGCACCACCAGGAGUGGAGCCUGCGGCUUAAUUUGACUCAACACGGGAAAACUCACCCGGCCCGGACACCGUAAGGAUUGACAGAUUGAAAGCUCUUUCUCGAUUUGGUGGUUGGUGGUGCAUGGCCGUUCUUAGUUGGUGGAGCGAUUUGUCUGGUUUAUUCCGAUAACGAGCGAGACUCUAGCCUGCUAAAUAGUGACUAGAUUUUUAUGUCUAGUCUACUUCUUAGAGGGAUAAGCGGUGUUUAGCCGCACGAGAUUGAGCGAUAACAGGUCUGUGAUGCCCUUAGAUGUCCGGGGCUGCACGCGCGCUACAAUGGAAGAAUCAGCUGGCCUAUCCAUUGCCGAAAGGUAUUGGUAAACCGUUGAAACUCUUCCGUGACCGGGAUAGGGAAUUGUAACUAUUUCCCUUGAACGAGGAAUUCCUAGUAAGUGUGAGUCAUCAGCUCACGCUG
rnacentral:rRNA from 1 species